rnacentral:rRNA from 1 species
ACGCACGCUGGCGGCGUGCUUAACCCCUGCCAGUCGCACGGAAAGGCCCUGCUUUUGUGGGGUGCUCGAGUGGCGAACGGGUGAGUAACACGUGAGUAACCUGCCCUUGACUUUGGGAUAACUUCAGGAAACUGGGGCUAAUACCGGAUAGGAGCUCCUGCUGCAUGGUGGGGGUUGGAAAGUUUCGGCGGUUGGGGAUGGACUCGCGGCUUAUCAGCUUGUUGGUGGGGUAGUGGCUUACCAAGGCUUUGACGGGUAGCCGGCCUGAGAGGGUGACCGGCCACAUUGGGACUGAGAUACGGCCCAGACUCCUACGGGAGGCAGCAGUGGGGAAUAUUGCACAAUGGGCGGAAGCCGGAUGCAGCAACGCCGCGUGCGGGAUGACGGCCUUCGGGUUGUAAACCGCUUUCGCCUGUGACGAAGCGUGAGUGACGGUAAUGGGUAAAGAAGCACCGGCUAACUACGU